ensembl:lncRNA novel transcript
UUUGCCUCCCAGCUCUGCUAGCCGGGCUUUAGUAGUGCGCUUUCUCGCGGCUGUCAUAAGUACCACGCUGUUGACUGGGACACCGAUCUCCAAUUCUGUCCUUGAGGCAAUAAAGAUGUGGCGAAGGCCCGAGGUGAGGCCACUGCCACUGCACUUAGUCCUGCGACUCCCCUAAGGACGGGCCGAGGAAUGGCGGGCUAGCCACUUCCCAGUCCUGUCCCUACGGGGCAGAAAAAGGCUCGGCAUCCCGGGAUCCGGAGGGUCACUUCCCUCGCUGCAUCCCCAUUGUGCAACUGCCAGUCUAAAAAUUGAUAUAGAUGUCCAGCUCCAACCUGGUUUCAUAGGCAGUGGUAAUACUGGAACAACCUCUUCUCCAAGAUUCUCAGGCAAUCAAAGGCCCUGAGAAGAGAAGAUCAGAAUAAAGAUUGGUUUCCUCAUUGAUGUGAAUUUUGUCACAACCACCAUCUUUGGAAUUCAGAUGUUACUAUGAAUUUCAGAAACUGGCUUUGGGGGAUCCAAAAUCAAACCAAGGUUGCAGAGUGUCCUACCUGGGAAGGAAUGCCGAAAAUCUGAUUUAAACCCUCUUUGCUGCUCCCAGAUAACCAGUUGGCCCAUUACUCAAGAAAAACAUAGCAACGCGCUAUGCUACAUACCCUACCCCUCACAUGCUUUGUCCAGCCCAGCCUGCAUAUCUUACCCCUAUUGUCAAUUCCAGCACUUUGUCUCAUAAAAAAUCCCUACCAGCUCUUUUUCAGAGAGUCACCAGAAGGUCCUUGUGCCUCUGCUGUCUCCCUUGCACUCAAGCACAAACACCAGAUAAAAGCCUUGUCUGAGGAAUCUGCUUGGCUCCAUGUUAAUUUUUAUUACAUGGGGAGCCUCUGGUCUGUAACAAAUUAUUGUGAAAGACUGAUGAUUAGACAAACUGGCCUAAACUUUCUCCAAUGGUUUGUUCCAGUGAAUAAUUUUCCUUACACUUGAUUUGCCCUACUGGGGGGAUAGGUUCAAUUCAUUCUUUCAAUCAACAAGUAUUUAUGAAUUACCUACCAUAUUUAUGAUAUGAGAUACACUGUGAAUACCUCUUCUACAUCUACUCCAACCUUAAUUAACUUCUAUUCAAUAUUCAGAACUCAGUUUAAAUACCACUUCCUCUGAUGAAACUUAUAUUUAGGCCAGGUCAGCCUGGUAUGUACUCUCAUGGCACUAGGGGGUCUUAUAUUUUAUGCAUUUUGAAGUAUGCACUAAUGUCUUUGCUUUUUUGGUGAGUGUGUGCUUAAGGCCUGUCUUUUCUGUAACACAGAUGAAGACAGGGACUUUGCUUUUGCUCAAGAUUGUAACUCUGGUACUUAUCUUCGUACUUAAGUGAGAGGCUCUGAUGAAUGAGUUAUCAGAAUCUCACUAUAACACUACUCACCAAAGUACUUUUUGUUUGUGGUAACCUCUGACUGCCAGGGGCACCUACAGAAAGUAUGGUGAUGAAAAUCUGUACCUGAAGGUAGUCUCUUGUAUGAGGUAACCCCAUGGUGAAUCUCUGAGGAAGUUAUAAACACCAAUAACAAAAAAGCAGAAAUGAAAAAAUAAAAAAAGAAGUUCAUCCUGGGUCAAUAUUAUUCUGGUAGUCAACAUUCUAAUAAUUCUUUUAAAACUAUGUCUUGAUGUGUGCCCUUUUUCCAUGAUCACACCAUAGCUAAUGUGGUUAAGCAGAUAAAGACUUAGGCAUGUUUGACUUUAUUUUCACUUUAGCAAAUAAUUAGAAUUUCUACCGUGAAAACAUGCAAUGACGUCAUGGUAGAGAGGUUUUAUCAGUGUGUCUUCAGAAAGUAACAAUAAAUUACAAGUCUGAUGUAAAGUUAUUAAAAACUAGGUUACAAACCCA